AUUUCUUCGGAUUGAAGUUUUAAUGACUGAGCGGCGGACGGGUGAGUAACGCGUGGGUGACCUGCCUCAUACAGGGGGAUAACAGACAGAAAUGUCUGCUAAUACCGCAUAAGCGCGCAGUGCUGCAUGGCACAGUGUGAAAAACUCCGGUGGUAUGAGAUGGACCCGCGUCUGAUUAGCUAGUUGGUAAGGCAACGGCUUACCAAGGCGACGAUCAGUAGCCGGCCUGAGAGGGUGAACGGCCACAUUGGGACUGAGACACGGCCCAAACUCCUACGGGAGGCAGCAGUGGGGAAUAUUGCACAAUGGGGGAAACCCUGAUGCAGCGACGCCGCGUGAAGGAAGAAGUAUUUCGGUAUGUAAACUUCUAUCAGCAGGGAAGAAAAUGACGGUACCUGACUAAGAAGCCCCGGCUAACUACGUGCCAGCAGCCGCGGUAAUACGUAGGGGGCAAGCGUUAUCCGGAUUUACUGGGUGUAAAGGGAGCGUAGACGGCAUGGCAAGUCUGGUGUGAAAGGCAGGGGCUCAACCCCUGGACUGCAUUGGAAACUGUCAGGCUGGAGUGCAGGAGAGGUAAGUGGAAUUCCUAGUGUAGCGGUGAAAUGCGUAGAUAUUAGGAGGAGCACCAGUGGCGAAGGCGACUUACUGGACUGUAACUGACGUUGAGGCUCGAAAGCGUGGGGAGCAAACAGGAUUAGAUACCCUGGUAGUCCACGCCGUAAACGAUGGAUACUAGGUGUGGGGGGUAUUGACCCCCUCCGUGCCGCAGUUAACACAAUAAGUGUCCCACCUGGGGAGUACGGCCGCAAGGUUGAA
rnacentral:rRNA from 1 species